rnacentral:lncRNA from 1 species
ACGGGAAACAGAACUAAAAACUAGAGAUGCAAAUUUGGAUUCUUCAGUUGUCAUUUAUGACUUUAAUAAUUGUGAUUGUUGAAAGCAAGAGGAAUCAUCUUCCUAUGUUUAUUAACAACUUGUGUUUAAACUGCACUAUAAAUAUCCAUAUAAAUUUACAAAAAUAUAACUUGGUUCUUCCCUGUUCUUGCUAGAGACCACAAUCCCUCAAAAUAAAUUCCUGCAUCCGUCCCGGUUGAGGUGCAUUCUUCAUAGAUAACAUCUGAAGCACAGAAAGUAUAAACAAUCAACAAACAACUAAAGCCAAACCAAGAAGAAUGGGGGAAAAACUAAUUAAUAUAAAUACUACAUACAGCAAAUUGGCUAAGAAAUUUUGAAUAAAUGCAACAAAUUAUUAAUCAUUUCAGACUCAAUUAAUUUUUUACAGAUGAUCCAAUUUGUCAUAGUAUUAUAAAUAACAAGAAUUAAUCAGUGUCAUUGUACCUUAGUUACUCCCAGCAAUCAACACACGAAAGUCGGGACUUGCCAAACUCUCCAGUGCUUCGUUCUUUCUUGAUAGCAUAAUUCCGACUUGGAGGGUUACUUCCCCUUGUAAUUCCUCCUGUUCCUCUAGUAAUCUCUUAGCAGAAACGACAGCAGAAUCGCUGCAAN